GCCUCUGCAAGUCUCUGCACCUUGGCAGUCGUUUCUCUCCCUUGUAGAAGGAGGCUUGUGGACUAGGGUCACUGCGCUGAGUGUAGCUGUUGAGCCUCAGGGAACUGUGGUGAGGACUGGGAGGGGCCUGAGGAGCCCUUUUGCAUGUGUAAAAUGGAAGCUCUGGAAGGGGAAGGAACCUUCCCUAGGAUGAGCAGCAGAUCCAACAUAAUGCCCUCCAAGCAGCCUCUCCUUUAGAGGGAUGAAAGCCAUGGUUAAGAUGUCACUUCCCAUAAAUCAG